UGUUUCAGGGCUCAGUGAUGUUUAGGGAUGUGGCAGUAGUCUUCUCAGGACGAGUGGGGCCAGCCAGAUCCUUCUAGGAAGGAUUUGUACAGGGACGUGACACUGGAGAACUUCAGCAGCUUCAUCUCUAGGUUCUUCUAUUUCCAGGCCAGGUGUGAUCUCCUUAUCAGAACAAGGGAAAGAACCCUUGGGGGCACAAAGAGAUGUGACAGGAAGCCUGUGCCCAGCUGAGUGAAGGAUCAUUAAGAAGGGCAGUGGCGCUGUAGAUCAUGUAUCCUCAUGGGAGAAAAUGGAAAAAUUUAUAAACAAAGAUCCUGAGGACCCCAUGUUCCAGGAUGACUGGGAAUAUAAAGGCAUAUUUGAGAGACAUCAAAGAAAUGAGGAAGGAAAUUCCAGUCAAGUGAUAAUCACCCAGGAAGAGUAUCUACUGUGAGACAGCAAACUUCCCAUAACCUGCAUCAGAAAGUUCCACCUGGAAGUAAGCCCUAUGCAUAACGAAUGUAGAGAAGGGUUUCGGCAGAAGACAUCCCUUCUAAGUCACCAGAAAAUGUAUACUGCUGACCGAUCUGAGGAAUGCAAGCAACAUGGGAAGGCUUUCUCCAUCACCGUUCUGAUCCCCCUCAACAUCAUAGAACUCACACUGGGAAAGACCCUGUGAAUGUAAAGAAUGUGGAAGGGCCUUUAGUCCUAUUUCCCUCUUUACCCAACACCAGAGAAUUCCUACUGGUGAGAAAACCUAUGAAUGUAAGGAGUAUCAAAAAAGCUAUAUUGAGCUCUCAAACUUAAUGCACAUCAUAGAAUGCAUACUCGGGGAAAAUUCUAUCAAUAUACUGAAUGUGCAAAAACUUGUCACUAAUUAUUCAACAUCAGAGAAUUCAUACUGGAGAAAACCCUAUGACUGUAAGGAAUGUGGAAGGCCUUUAGAGGUAUCACGCAACUUCAUGAACAUCAAAGAAUAUAUACCAGGGAGAAGCCAUAAAAAUGUAAUGAAUGUGGAAAGGCCUUCGGUCAUCAGCCAUAUCUUCCUCAAUAUCAGAGGAUCCAUACUGGUGAGGCACCUUAUAAACGUAAGGUUUGUGGGAAGGCCUUUAGGCAGGGCUCAAAGCUUUAUCAUCACCAGAAAAUUUAUACCAAGUGAGAAAUUAUAUAAAUGUAAUGGAAGCUUUU